UGCAGAGGUCUCAAGCGUUGUUCGGAUUCAUUGGGCGUAAAGGGUGCGUAGGCGGCGCGGUAAGUCGGGUGUGAAAUCUCGGAGCUUAACUCCGAAACUGCAUUUGAUACUGCCGUGCUUGAGGACUGGAGAGGAGACUGGAAUUUACGGUGUAGCGGUGAAAUGCGUAGAUAUCGUAAGGAAGACCAGUGGCGAAGGCGGGUCUCUGGACAGUUCCUGACGCUGAGGCACGAAGGCCAGGGGAGCAAACGGG
rnacentral:rRNA from 1 species